GACGAACGCUGGCGGCGUGCUUAACACAUGCAAGUCGAGCGAUGAAUUUCCUUCGGGAAUGGAUUAGCGGCGGACGGGGGAGUAACACGUGGGUAACCUGCCUCAUAGGGGGGGAUAGCCUUUCGCAAGGAAGAUUAAUACCGCAUAAGGUUGUAGUGCCGCAUGGCAUAGCAAUUAUAGGAGUAAUCCGCUAUGAGAUGGACCCGCGGCUCAUUAGCUAGUUGGGGAGGUAACGGCUCACCAAGUGGACGAUGCUGAGCCGACCUGAGAGGGUGAUCGGCCACAUUGGGACUGAGACACGGCCCAGACUCCUACGGGAGGCAGCAGUGGGGAAUAUUGCACAAUGGGGGAAACCCUGAUGCAGCAACGCCGCGUGAGUGAUGACGGUCUUCGGAUUGUAAAGCUCUGUCUUCAGGGACGAUAAUGACGGUACCUGAGGAGGAAGCCACGGCUAACUACGUGCCAGCAGCCGCCGUAA
rnacentral:rRNA from 1 species